UAGCAGAGGGUGCGAGCGUUGUUCGGAAUUAUUGGGCGUAAAGGGCGGCGUAGGCGGUGCGGAUAAGUCGACCUGAUGAAAAUCGUCCUUGGCUCAACUGGAGCUUGCAGGGCGAAACUGCCGUGCUGGAGUGUGGGAGAGGUGACGUGGAAUUCCUGGUGUAGCGGUGGAAAAUGCGUAGAUAGUCAGGAGGAACACCUGUGGCGAAAGCGGCGCACUGGGACCAACAACUGACGCUGAGGCGACGAAAGCUAGGGGAGCAAACAGG
rnacentral:rRNA from 1 species